AUUGAACGCUGGCGGUAUGCUUAACACAUGCAAGUCGAACGGUAACAGGCCUUCGGGCGCUGACGAGUGGCGGACGGUGAGUAACGCGUAGGAAUCUGCCUCAUAGUGGGGGACAACGUGGGGAAACUCACGCUAAUACCGCAUACGCCCUACGGGGAAAGCGGGGGAGUCUUCGGACCUCGCGCUAUGAGAUGAGCCUGCGUUAGAUUAGCUAGUUGGUAGGGUAAAGGCCUACCAAGGCGACGAUCUAUAGCUGGUCUGAGAGGACG
rnacentral:rRNA from 1 species